rnacentral:rRNA from 1 species
UACGUAGGGGGCGAGCGUUAUCCGGAUUUAUUGGGCGUAAAGAGUUCGUAGGCGGUUUGUUAAGUCUAAGAUUUAAGCCUGAGGCUUAACCUCAGUUCGUUUUAGAAACUGGCAGACUUGAGUGUGGUAGAGGCAAGUGGAAUUUCUAGUGUAGCGGUUAAAUGCGUAGAUAUUAGAAGGAACACCAGUGGCGAAGGCGGCUUGCUGGGCCAUUACUGACGCUGAGGAACGAAAGCGUGGGGAGCAAAUA